rnacentral:rRNA from 1 species
UACGGGAGGCAGCAGUGGGGAAUAUUGCACAAUGGGCGCAAGCCUGAUGCAGCCAUGCCGCGUGUAUGAAGAAGGCCUUCGGGUUGUAAAGUACUUUCAGUCGUGAGGAAGGUGUUAAGGUUAAUAACCUUAGCAAUUGACGUUAGCGACAGAAGAAGCACCGGCUAACUCCGUGCCAGCAGCCGCGGUAAUACGGAGGGUGCGAGCGUUAAUCGGAAUUACUGGGCUAAAGGGCACGCAGGCGGUUAAUUAAGUUGGAUGUGAAAUCCCCGGGCUUAACCUGGGAAUGGCAUUCAAGACUGGUUAGCUAGAGUCUUGUAGAGGGGGUAGAAUUCCGAUGUGUAGCGGUGAAAUGCGUAGAGAUGUGGAGGAAUACCGGUGGCGAAGGCGGCCCCUGGGACAAAGACUGACGCUCAUGUGCGAAAGCGUGGGGAGCAAACAGGAUUAGAUACC